rnacentral:lncRNA from 1 species
UGGGGGAUGAGGGGGUGUCCUUACAAAAGCGAGAUGCCACUCAGCUUCUGAAGGUGACCUCGAGAUUAGUUUUAUUGACCAAAGGCGCCAGGAGGUUGGAGAGAACUAGUCUGAAUUUACAGAGAGAAGUUGAGCCGAGGCUGCCAGGGAGGCUGUCAGGCACAGGGUGGAUGACGUGGUGGGCAACCCGGGAAUGACCAGCUCCUGCCUCCGCUGGACAACAGUGUUCAAUGUGGCGUGAAGCAGCCAGGAGAAUUGCAAGAAACCUGGCUGCUGCUGCUUCAGAGCAGAAGAUGAACCUCUUGAGAGUGUUCCUCAUACUGUCUCUGGUAUUUCUUGGUGAGCAAACAUCCUGCAGCGACCAUGGGCUUGUCAUGGAUGAUGUCAGCGUGAGCAGAGGCUUCGGAGGCACUGGAGCACCAGUGUGGCACCUUCUGCCUUCCUAUCCUGGCCACUUGCUUGCUCCAGAGCUGCUCUCCAUCAUUGGGUCCCACUCAGCCCGGGAGCUGCUGUGGUUCCCCCCAGCGUUAGUAGGACCCCACGGCUGUGGUGCUGCUUCUCAAGGACAUCCUCGAGUUGGCCUUGCUUUGGCCUCACUGUAGGGCUGGCGUUCUGCCCGCCAUGCUGCUUUCGGUGCCACCGGGUGCAGCCAGAGGAAAUGGAAGCAGCUCUGGGGCACCGAGCUGCACGGCCACGGGGCUGCAGUGCCCUGAAGGCCGUGGGCAGAGACAUGUCCUCAGUGCGCACCAUUCCCGACAUCCUCCGCUCACCUGCAGCCUCCCAGGCUCCAAGAAAAAGCCAGCAUGAGCUCAGGGACCAGUAGCAACCCCUGUACUUACGACCUUCUCUCUGUCUGUCAAUUGCAGUAACCACCCGCGUGCAUCUCCUUGAGCAUUUGUGGAGACUCCAGAAAAUACAGGAAGACAGCAUUGCACAGGUCAGUGACCAUGGGCUCAGACAUCCUUCCUCAGUCCUGGCCUCUUGUGCCAGCCAGCACAGAGCUCACAGCCUCUGGAUGCAGCUUGUCUUGCGUGUCAGACCUCUGGGUGCUGGCAGUCACGGUGAGCUGCGCGCUGACAUGGUCGUGUCCUGACAUUGUUUGUUGUCUUUCCCCAAAGAUAGAGAUGCUACAUCAGGUAUUAUCCAAGUUGAGAGCACAGCAGGACAGCUAUCAGACGCCUGACUGGGCAUGGAAAAGCACUGGUGAAGACACAGGUAGGCAAGCCCUGCUACCUUGAGCUUCUCCAUGUCUGCUGCCUAUUGCACUCAUCUCUGCCCCAUCCUUACAGGUGCUACCAUCCACCUCCGGAAAAUUUCUUUUACCUAUACUUUUUACUUCUGGUUUUGCUGGCUCCACCGUUUCAUCCCUGUGAAUGAUUGGGACAUUAACCUUUAAUGUGAAGAAAGCACCCUUACAGACCUUCCUGCUUCAGGUAAGACAGGGGCAGCACGCCAGGGAGGACGCCUGCUCCCUGCCCCUCCCUGUGUUCCCACAUCCCUGCAACUGGAGCCCUCUGGUUGCACAGCCACGCUCUCCCACUGCCUGGAGCUCCUGAGCUACAGGACUGGCAGGGGCGAGCCGUGGAGCACAUGAUGGGAAUUUGAACCCCCAUUACUUUAUUCCUCCCCAUUUCCUUUGCAGAAUAAUCAUGCCAGAGCCUUUCGCUACAUCAAGGUUCUGGUGAAGAGCAACUGGGGACAUCCAGAAUACACCUGCAUUUACCAAGUGCAGGUGCAUGGGAAGGUGGUGGAAAGAAAUGACCUUCUGAAAUUGGAUUUCUAAGAUCUGAAAUUCAACAUGUAAGAUCUGAAAUUGGAUUUGUAAGAUCUGAAAUUGGAUUUGUGAGAUCCGAAAUUGGAUUUGUAAGAUCUAAAAUUGGAUUUGUUGACAAAAAAAUAAAGACAUUAUAACAUCAUCUUGAACUGUGUCU